rnacentral:rRNA from 1 species
GAUGAACGCUGGCGGCGUGCCUAAUACAUGCAAGUCGAACGCGCAGCGAGAGGUGCUUGCACCUUUCAAGCGAGUGGCGAACGGGUGAGUAACACGUGGAUAACCUGCCUCAAGGCUGGGGAUAACAUUUGGAAACAGAUGCUAAUACCGAAUAAAACUUAGUAUCGCAUGAUAUAAAGUUAAAAGGCGCUACGGCGUCACCUAGAGAUGGAUCAGCGGUGCAUUAGUUAGUUGGUGGGGUAAAGGCUUACCAAGACAAUGAUGCAUAGCCGAGUUGAGAGACUGAUCGGCCACAUUGGGACUGAGACACGGCCCAAACUCCUACGGGAGGCUGCAGUAGGGAAUCUUCCACAAUGGGCGCAAGCCUGAUGGAGCAACGCCGCGUGUGUGAUGAAGGCUUUCGGGUCGUAAAGCACUGUUGUAUGGGAAGAAAUGCUAAAAUAGGGAAUGAUUUUAGUUUGACGGUACCAUACCAGAAAGGGACGGCUAAAUACGUGCCAGCCGCCGCGGUAAGAC